rnacentral:lncRNA from 1 species
AAUGCCACCGAGGAAUUCCGAGUGAAGAAAAACUCACAGAAAACGGGCACUCACAGAAGCCCAAGACGCAGAUUUCAGGAAGCCACGGGGCUGGGUUCUAGAGCCCCCAAAGUAGUGCUGAGCGCCCCACGUCGAGAAGGAAGGAGUGCACAUUGGCCAUUUUGUGGGGACCCAGAGCAGCUCCGCUCAGGAGGGCAAAGGGCGAAGGGUGUGUAACCCCAGCCCUGCCUGGUAACAAAGCCACCUUGUGUUCUGUCCCCGGAGCCACAGGCCAGGAGGGAGGGAGGAGCUAACCCCCCCCAACCCCGCACCACCACCACCACCACCACCAAAGGCUGGCGGCCAGCAGCUUCCUCACAGGGACUUAGAUAAGAGGUUUUGAGAAAGUUCAAAAACAGCUAUCUAUGCGGAAAGAUUGGCUUCCUUCAAAAAAAAGUCUGGGAGCAAAAGAAAGGACAACAGAUCAGCUGUUUCACAUCAACCAGAGACUUCAAACAGGCGGGAGAGGCUGUCUGGCCUGUUUGAUCAUUUGGGAGGAGACCAGAAGGCUGACCGUCUGCGAGUGGGGGUGCCCCGAUUCACCAGCACAAGGCAGGGAGAGGACGAGACCCCAUCGACUUCCUAAAGACACGCUUCGCCGUCUGUUCUUUCCAACCCUAGUGAAAAGCGACUACCCAUGGAAUAGAGGGACAGAGUUAUUAACCAACACGAACAAAAUUCUCUGGCUUCCUUGCAUCUGCCUGUAA